GACAAAGGAUGCAAGCGUUAUCCGGAAUGAUUGGGCGUAAAGCGUAUGUAGGUGGCUUUUUAAGUCCGCCGUCAAAUCCCAGGGCUCAACCCUGGACAGGCGGUGGAAACUACCAAGCUGGAGCACGGUAGGGGCAGAGGGAAUUUCCGGUGGAGCGGUAAAAUGCGUAGAGAUCGGAAAGAACACCAACAGCGAAAGCACUCUGCUGGGCCGACACUGACACUGAGAGACGAAAGCUAGGGGAGUGAAUAGG
rnacentral:rRNA from 1 species